rnacentral:misc_RNA from 1 species
AAGGAGCAUCUGCUCAGAUCCUUCCGAAGAGUCGGAAGUGACUGUGCCAGAGCCGUUUCGGACUCACAUGUAGUCCGGCGGAGCUCAUGGGUGGAACGCUGACAAGCUUCAACGCAUCAUGGUCGAGGCCAUGUCCUCGAUCGCGGUGAAUAUAUCGACACACUGUUGGGUCCUGAAAGAACAGACGUUCUUUCCAGGCAAGAAAUACGAUCCGCCCGGAUCUCCUUGAUACCUCAGGGUUUUCACUCUGAUGGUCUUGUGAAUCCUAUCCGGUGCGGGUGUGUUGUUUGAGAACUGCACAGUGGACGCGAGCAUCUUUGU